AACCGCCAAUCAUUCGACAU
rnacentral:miRNA from 1 species